AUUGAACGCUGGCGGCAUGCUUUACACAUGCAAGUCGAACGGUAACAGGCCGCAGGUGCUGACGAGUGGCGAACGGUGAGUAAUGCAUCGGAGCGUGCCCAGUCGUGGGGGAUAACGCAGCGAAAGCUGCGCUAAUACCGCAUACGAUCUAUGGAUGAAAGCGGGGGACCGUAAGGCCUCGCGCGAUUGGAGCGGCCGAUGUCAGAUUAGGUAGUUGGUGGGGUAAAGGCUCACCAAGCCAACGAUCUGUAGCUGGUCUGAGAGGACGACCAGCCACGCUGGGACUGAGACACGGCCCAGACUCCUACGGGAGGCAGCAGUGGGGAAUUUUGGACAAUGGGCGCAAGCCUGAUCCAGCAAUGCCGCGUGCAGGAAGAAGGCCUUCGGGUUGUAAACUGCUUUUGUACGGAACGAAACGGUCCUGGUUAAUACCUGGGGCUAAUGACGGUACCGUAAGAAUAGGCACCGGCUAACUACGUGCCAGCCGCCGCCUGUAACAC
rnacentral:rRNA from 1 species